CGAGGAAUUUAUAUAUUAGUUACCACUUUUUUGUAAAGGUAACAAACGUAUAUUUUACUUACAAACUUUAUUUAUGCUUGAAAUAGAAGUCACCAAGUGGUGAACUCUUAUAACCCUAAGCGUGUAAAAGCAAACAAACAUCACACACGCAGCAAGCAAACAAAUAAAUAAAAUUACUUAAGCACACUUGUAGCCAUAUGGCAGCUUCUUGCCACAAUAGUUGAGAAGCAAGCUGAGGUCCACGUUCCAGUUGAGGUUGAUGCCGAGGACGCCGGCUUUGAUGCUGGUACAGAGACAGAGAGCAGCCUCGGCGUCGGUGAUCCCCCGGAGAAGGGUGCAGCAGGGCUCCUUCGGCGGAGCACCGAUGUUGAGGUUGAUGAGGCCGUUGAGAACAUUGGCGCAGACUCCUAGCUUGAGGGUGUCACGAGGGCAGGAGGGGACGGCCGGUUUGGGUGUGGGAUGGGGAUGGGGAUGGGGAUGGGGUUUGGGCUUGAAGGGGGGAGGUGGGCAGGGCACGUAAUGGGUGGAGGAGACGAUGGAGAAGAAGAGGUUGAGGGAGAGGAGGAGAGCCGUCGAGGCCAUCAUCCUUGAAGCCAUUUUCUCUCCUCUUCUAAGUGAGGAAGAAGUGGUGAGAGUUGUGAGGUUAGGGUUAGGUUUUAUAA
rnacentral:misc_RNA from 1 species